UACGGAGGGAGCUAGCGUUGUUCGGAAUUACUGGGCGUAAAGCGCACGUAGGCGGCUUUUUAAGUCAGGGGUGAAAUCCCGGGGCUCAACCCCGGAACUGCCUUUGAAACUGGAGAGCUAGAAUCUUGGAGAGGCGAGUGGAAUUCCGAGUGUAGAGGUGAAAUUCGUAGAUAUUCGGAAGAACACCAGUGGCGAAGGCGACUCGCUGGACAAGUAUUGACGCUGAGGAGCGAAAGCGUGGGGAGCGAACAGG
rnacentral:rRNA from 1 species